rnacentral:rRNA from 1 species
GCAGCUCUAAAUGGGAGGUAAAUUUCUUCUAAAGCUAAAUACCGGCCAGAGACCGAUAGCGCACAAGUAGAGUGAUCGAAAGAUGAAAAGCACUUUGGAAAGAGAGUUAAAAAGUACGUGAAAUUGUUGAAAGGGAAGCGCUUGCAACCAGACUUGCUCGCAGUUGCUCAACCCGCCUCCUGGUGGGUGUACUCUUCUGCGGUCAGGCCAGCAUCAGUUCGAGCGGUCGGAUAAAGGCGCCGGGAAUGUAGCUCCUCUCGGGGAGUGUUAUAGCCCGGCGUGGAAUGCGACCUGCUCGGACUGAGGAUCUCGCUUCGGCUAGGAUGCUGGCGUAAUGGUUGUAAGCGGCCCGUCUUGAAACACGGACCAAGGAGUCUAACAUCUAUGCGAGUGUUUGGGUGUCAAACCCAUGCGCGUAAUGAAAGUGAACGGAGGUGGGAACCCGCAAGGGCGCACCAUCGACCGAUCCUGAUGUCUUCGGAUGGAUUUGAGUAUGAGCAUAGCUGUUGGGACCCGAAAGAUGGUGAACUAUGCCUGAAUAGGGUGAAGUCAGAGGAAACUCUGAUGGAGGCUCGCAGCGGUUCUGACGUGCAAAUCGAUCGUCAAAUUUGGGUAUA